rnacentral:lncRNA from 10 species
CAAAGAACUACUGAUAUGAAUAUGUGCAUGUCUGUGUCUGUGGGUAUGGCUGCAGUUAUGGCUGUGUCUACGGCUACAUCUGCUGUGUCUAUGAUUACGUCUAUAUUUAUGUCUGCCUCUAUGGCUAUGGCUACCUUUAUGUCUAUGUCUAGUAUCCAUCCUACAUGGUUUUACAGAGAGCUAAAACCACUCUUUCAUCGUGUCAUUCCAUGAAUAUGUAUUUGGUCUUCAACCCACUUCUUGGCAUACAACUCUAAAUAUCCUGGAAUGUCCAAAGUAGUGUCUUUUCAUGUGAAUGAGUUGACUGAUGGCUGACAGCUCCUAGGCAGCUCCUGGACAGGAUGGGGCUGGACACUGAAAAGACCAAACCAGGAUUAGAGGGUUGGGACUUUCAGUCCAUCCUGCCUAUUUUGGCAAGACCUGUUCAGAGCAACAGCCUGACUCCAUUUUCUCGUGAUCCUCUGUGAGCCUAGCCAACUGAAGUCUCCUUUGAACCUGUGAGUCUUAAACUACGUUCCUGCAAUACCUUGGUUUGAUGUGUUGCAGCCCUGACCACACUUAGAAUCUGUUGCUCAAUGUCAAUCUUCCCAGAUGGAUUUCAGACGAGGGAAGGGAACUUUGCCUGGUCCAGCCGCUGCAUUCUCUAUGUCUGCCACUCAGUAGUACUCAAAGUGAUUCAAGAAGAUUUUAUUUACAUUUGAUUCAGAUGAUAUUAGAAAUGGACACUACCAUCCUCAGAGCUGAUGUCUUAAUUUCCACCACAUUCCACAUUUCCCUCAAUACUCCUUCCAAAGUAAGGCACAUGCCUCUUGGCUUACCACUGGUAAACACGGCAUGUCUCCCGAUAAUUACACAAAGAAAGACAGGAACAUGCCACAUGGACAUGUGUUUUUGGUGAAAGACCAAAUGCUGAAGAACCCAGAGGAAAAAUCUAAUCACCACAUGGCAUUUCCCUUAGUGCAGUUGGCCUCAACAUGCUGACCUGCCCACAAUGAGCAAGACCGACGCAAAAUCAAAGGCGUCUCUGAGGCAGGAGGCUUCCCACACAGCAGCAACCUGGCACCCGACUGACCUGGGUCCUCCAGCAUCUCAGCAAGGAAAACAACAAAAAAGAUAAAUGAAACAAAAAGCUGGCUCUUCAGAAAGAUAAAUGAAACUGAUAGACCAUUAGCAAGAUGAACCAAGAAGACAGAAAAUCCAAAUAACCUCACUAAGAAAUGCAACAGGAGAUAUUACAACUGACGCCACUGAAAUACAAAAGAUCAUUCAAGGCUACCAAGAAUGCCUUCACACACAUAAACUAGAAAACCUAGAAGAGACGGAUGAAUUCCUGGAACUUUGAUGCAACUCUUAAAAGAGUGACAGGAUCAGAAGUUGCAGCUCUUAAGAAAGCUCCCAUCCUAACUUCUGAAAAGGUGGGAGAAAUAAUCAAAGCCAUAUUUACUGAGGAUUACACACCACAGGGAUGAGAGUCAUGGUAAAAGGGAAUAACAAUGCAAGCCUAACCUUGACUCCAAGGGCCCUGGCAGGAGCUGCAGGCAUCAUGUAGUGAGAUGGCUCAUUGUCUGCCCAAUGGCAAGGGAAUUUACAAAGAAGACACGUGCACCCCGGGUUCACAGCAGCAUUACUCACAAUAGCCAAAAGGUGGAAGCAACCCAGGUGUCCAUCCACAGAUAACUGGAUAAACAAAAUGGGGUAUACAGAUGCAAUGGAAUAUGAUUCCAUCUUAAAAAGGAAGGACAUUCUGUCCAUUGCUGCAACGUGGAUGAUCCUGGAGGACGCUAUGCUCAGUGAAAUAAGCCAGUCACAAAAGGACAAAUAUUGCAUGAUUCCACGUUUACAAGGCACCUAGAAUGGUCAAAUUCAUAAAGGCAGGAAAUAGAAUGGCGGCUGCCAGGGAUUGGGAGAGGGGAACUGGUGUUUAAUGGACACAGUUUCAGUUUGAGAAGAUGAAAAGAGUUCUGGAGAUGGAUAUGGUGACGGCCGCACAGCAAUAUGAAUGUACUUGACGCCGCUACACUGUACGCUUAGAAAUGGUUAAGAUGGUAAAGUGUACGUUGUGUGUAUUUUACCACAUUUUUUUAAAAGGCAAGAAGUGCUUCUGGGGUUCUAGCAGUUUCUCCCAGCCACAGUGCCUAGAGUGCAUUAUGGAAGAACUGUUUUUGGGUAUUAAAAAGACAAACCUGUGUUUGGUACAGAACUCUAUAGUGAUGGCUUUAUACCCUGGACUGUUUUAAUUAGAGAAUUUUAUUCCUAAGACCUACCAAUGAAUUUUAUGAUAUACCUUAUUCUGACAAAUAUGUAAGUGAAGAAUCAAAAGGCUAAGGAUUUUUUUAAAACAUUGGUUUUCAGUUUAUCUUUGUUUAACCAAAUUCUUUACCCAGUGGACUUUGCCAGUGUGUUUUGGGCACUAGCCAUCCGUAAUUGGUGAGAGAAGUACUGCUUCCGGCAGCCCUUGCAUUUUCCUCUAAGCGCCCCCCCCCCCGACACACACCCCUCCCCGUUGUCUUUGGUUGAGGAACAAUGGGGCACCAGGAUGGGGCGGCUCCCAGAGGUGGGCAUGACC